UGGGGAAUAUUGGACAAUGGGCGGAAGCCUGAUCCAGCAACGCCGCGUGAGGGAUGACGGCCUUCGGGUUGUAAACCUCUUUCAGUACCGACGAAGCGAAAGUGACGGUAGGUACAGAAGAAGGACCGGCCAACUACGUGCCAGCAGCCGCGGUAAUACGUAGGGUCCGAGCGUUGUCCGGAAUUAUUGGGCGUAAAGGGCUCGUAGGCGGUUUGUCGCGUCGGGAGUGAAAACAGCGGGCUUAACUCGUUGCUUGCUUUCGAUACGGGGCAGACUAGAGGUAUGCAGGGGAGAAUGGAAUUCCUGGUGUAGCGGUGAAAUGCGCAGAUAUCAGGAGGAACACCGGUGGCGAAGGCGGUUCUCUGGGCAUUACCUGACGCUGAGGAGCGAAAGUGUGGGGAGCGAACAGGAUUAGAUACCCUGGUAGUCCACACCGUAAACGUUGGGCGCUAGGUGUGGGGUCCUUUCCACGGAUUCCGUGCCGUA
rnacentral:rRNA from 1 species